UAACAAGCUAGAUGAUGGUGUUACCUAUAAAAUAAUCCUCUACUACUGAAGUUAAUUUAGGGUUUUUCAAGGAAAAUAUAGUGUAAGAAAAGUAGAUUAAGAGAUACCUAACACAGUGGUAACUAGAGUAGUCUAAGCUGCUGCUGAGCCAAAAUGGAUUGAAUACGAAUUGAAUGCUUCUCUUAUGUCAGAAAAGCAUAUGCUGCUUAUCAUCUCUCUCGUUCUCUCUGGGCUACUAAUUGUUUCCCUUUUCUGUGACAUACCAAUACAUUUAGCCAGUAUGUCUUUUAUUUUAUUUUAAACUCAGUGUGGUGCAGAGUGCCAAGUCUCUUUGUUUUUGUAUUUCAUCGGAAUUUCACCGGAAUUUGAAUGAUCCAAUUUCACCGGAAUUUGAAUGAAACGAAGGCUGCUCACUUACCUCGACAGGUGAGGUACGCUUGAUUCUGUGUCAUGUUAUUAAUGCAAUAUAAUGAUGUGUUCAUUACAUUGAGAGGUUCAAAUGUUACAGCAUGAAAGAAUAAAAGAAUAAGUGUAAGCUAAACUUCUAUCGUCAUCUGAUUUA